UGGUCCCAGCACAGCUCCCUGUAGUCUGGAAGCUGCGAUCAUGCUGCAGUUGGGCAACAAGACACAGAGAAAAGCAGUGAUGGUGUGGAUACAGCUUUUAAAAGGUAGCUGGCCUCUUGGUGAAACAACCCAAUCAGAGCAGCAGCCAGCAUGCAGCCCUAAAGCAGCAAUACAGAGAAGGAAGCAACCUGGGAGCCUAUAAUCAUGCACCUGUGUAAUGGAUUUGGAAAAGACAGCACUGAAGAGAAGAAGAAGACGACGAAGAAGACGACAAUGACGAUGACCAAAGGCAUCGGUUGGGAAGAGAUGAGAAGACAAACUCUCAAUCAACCUAGGCAGGAUUCAGUGUGACAGUACAAAUUACCAAAAGCUUAAGGCAGUGAGUCUGAGAGUGGGGAGCACAGAGUUAUAAGGAGGGAUAUGCUCUCAGUGCUGUGGGGUGGAUUCUCACAGAUGGGGGUGGCAGGCAUUAUGAAGAGGAGAGAAAAAGGACAGAAAGAAGGGAGAGGAGUGGCCCAAAAUUAUGUUCUGGAAAACUGAAAGAGACUCUCUGGCCAUCCAAACCUACUCAAACUAGUCCCUGACUAUGUCACUCCCUGCAAACUCCCACUCCAAACCUUUUCCCCAUCUCCCCUGCUCCAUUAAACAAAAUGCCCUCACUCAGCUCUUGGUCAGCUUCUCAC